rnacentral:rRNA from 1 species
CCUACGGGGGGCAGCAGUGGGGAAUAUUGGACAAUGGGGGCAACCCUGAUCCAGCCAUGCCGCGUGUGUGAAGAAGGCCCUCGGGUUGUAAAGCACUUUCAGUGAGGAAGAACGCCUGGUGGUUAAUACCCAUCAGGAAAGACAUCACUCACAGAAGAAGCACCGGCUAACUCCGUGCCAGCAGCCGCGGUAAUACGGAGGGUGCGAGCGUUAAUCGGAAUUACUGGGCGUAAAGCGCGCGUAGGUGGCUUGAUAAGCCGGUUGUGAAAGCCCCGGGCUCAACCUGGGAACGGCAUCCGGAACUGUCAAGCUAGAGUGCAGGAGAGGAAGGUAGAAUUCCUGGUGUAGCGGUGAAAUGCGUAGAGAUCGGGAGGAAUACCAGUGGCGAAGGCGGCCUUCUGGACUGACACUGACACUGAGGUGCGAAAGCGUGGGUAGCAAACAGGAUUAGAUACCCGUGUAGUC